GAUGAACGCUGGCGGCGUGCCUAAUACAUGCAAGUCGAGCGAACAGACGAGGAUCUUGCUCCUCUGACGUUAGCGGCAGACGGGUGAGUAACACGUGUAUAACCUACCUAUAAGACUGGUAUAACUUCGGGAAACCGGAUCUAAUACCGUAUAAUAUAUUGAACCGCGUGGUUCAAUAGUAAAAUACGGUUUUGCUGUCACUUAUAGAUGGAUCCCCGCGGCAUGAGAUAGUUGUUAAGUUAACGGCUUACCAAGGCAACGAUGCGUAGCCGACCUGAGAGGGUGAUCGGCCACCCGGGAACUGAGACACGGUCAAGACUCCUAAGGGAGGGCGCAGUAGGGAAUCGUAGGCAAUGGGCGAAAGCAUGACGGAGCAACGCCGAGUGAGUGAUGAAGGUCUUCGGAUCGUAAAACUCUGUUAUUAGGGAAGAACAAAUGUGUAAGUAACUAUGCACGUAUUGACGGUAACUAAUCAGAAAGCCCCGGCUAACUACGUG
rnacentral:rRNA from 1 species